ACUGAACGCUGGCGGCAUGCUUUACACAUGCAAGUCGAACGGUAACAGGCCGCAAGGUGCUGACGAGUGGCGCACGGGUGAGUAAUGCAUCGGAACGUGCCCAGUCGUGGGGGAUAACUACUCGAAAGAGUAGCUAAUACCGCAUACGAUCUAUGGAUGAAAGCGGGGGACCGUAAGGCCUCGCGCGAUUGGAGCGGCCGAUGUCAGAUUAGGUAGUUGGUGGGGUAAAGGCUCACCAAGCCAACGAUCUGUAGCUGGUCUGAGAGGACGACCAGCCACACUGGGACUGAGACACGGCCCAGACUCCUACGGGAGGCAGCAGUGGGGAAUUUUGGACAAAGGGCGCAAGCCUGAUCCAGCAAUGCCGCGUGCAGGAAGAAGGCCUUCGGGUUGUAAACUGCUUUUGUACGGAACGAAACGGCUCUGGUUAAUACCCGGGGCUAAUGACGGUACCGUAAGAAUAAGCACCGGCUAACUACGUG
rnacentral:rRNA from 1 species